GAUGAACGCUGGCGGCGUGCCUAAUACAUGCAAGUCGAGCGAACGGACGAGAAGCUUGCUUUUCUGAUGUUAGCGGCGGACGGGUGAGUAACACGUGGAUAACCUACCUAUAAGACUGGGAUAACUUCGGGAAACCGGAGCUAGUACCGGAUAAUAUUUUGAACCGCAUGGUCCAAAAGUGAAAGACGGUCUUGCUGUCACUUAUAGAUGGAUCCGCGCUGCAUUAGCUAGUUGGUAAGGUAACGGCUUACCAAGGCAACGAUGCAUAGCCGACCUGAGAGGGUGAUCGGCCACACUGGAACUGAGACACGGUCCAGACUCCUACGGGAGGCAGCAGUAGGGAAUCUUCCGCAAUGGGCGAAAGCCUGACGGAGCAACGCCGCGUGAGUGAUGAAGGUCUUCGGAUCGUAAAACUCUGUUAUUAGGGAAGAACAUAUGUGUAAGUAACUGUGCACAUCUUGACGGUACCUAAUCAGAAAGCCACGGCUAACUACGUG
rnacentral:rRNA from 1 species